CGGGAAGUAGCGUAAUUGGCUAUCGCGCACGCUUUGGGAGCGUGAGGUUGCGGGUUCGAGUCCCGCCUUCCCGA
rnacentral:tRNA from 1 species